rnacentral:lncRNA from 1 species
AAAUAUAUUAUUUUAAUAAUAUAUUAAUGGUGAUAUUUUUUACAAUGAAUGUGGGAUAUAUGAAUAAAUGAGGAGGAAGAGUAUUUUUGUUGGAUUAAAUGUUUAACACAUGUUUUGUGUGUCGGUGGACACAAUUCUUGACCGAAAAUUUAUUAUAGACUGUAAAAUCGGCCGUUUGUGGAUUUUGGUCAAUUUCUGUUUGGAAUUUGGGAAAACUUCCUUCUGCAAAGUUGUAGAUAAUGGAAUUUCCUAUGGAAAGUCGCGAGUUUCGAAUUUUCUGAUAACCGAGCUAUUUUUUAUGAAUUGUUGAAGUUUCGGAGAAUAAAAUGAUUUUUAUUAAUUUAUGGGUGGGACCCACUUUUUGGUUUGUGUGGAAUACACAUGUGGGC